rnacentral:rRNA from 1 species
GACGAACCGAGCGAACGUUGUUCGGAAUCACUGGGCUUAAAGGGCGCGUAGGCGGGUGCUCAAGUCCGGUGGUGAAAUCCUCCGGCCUCAACCGGAGAAUCUGCCUCGGAUACUGGGUGCCUCGAGGGUGGUAGGGGUAUGCGGGAACUAUCGGGUGGAGCGGUGAAAUGCGUUGAUAUCGAAUAGGAAUCUCCGGUGGCGAAGGCGCGAUACUGGACCGACCUCGUGACGCUGGAGGCGCGAAAGCCAGGGGAGCAAACGGGA